rnacentral:lncRNA from 1 species
UUGCUAUAAGAUUUUAUUAGAUGUGAUUAAGAAAAAACUUGUGGACAAAUUAAGGACUAUAUAUAUAUAAUUUAAUGAAAAAUUUGAUCAUAUUUAAUAAAAAUUUAAAAGUGCAAAUUAAAAAUAUAAUAAAAACAUAUAGCUAAACUCGCAUCUAAUAAAAUCUAUUAUAACAAUUAAGUUAUACAGAAUUUAGAAUAUUACAAUAAAGGUGGUUCGCAGUGAGUCACUAAGUUUGAUGAUUGAAGGAUGCUUGGGUGAUGUUGAACUAGAGUUUGUUGUGAACGACCCACCAAGGCAGCAGAAGGCUACUGGAAUUGCCACUACACAGGCUACUAAAGGAGCACUCGGCCCAGAAUGGCUCCCAAAUGGCUGAAGGAUUUUGACAAGUGACACCUCAGCUGGUUGCACGUGGGAGGGAAUAACGGUUCACACUUCUCCCAUGCAGCUAUCCUUGUUUUAAGGAGGAAAAAUACCAGAAAAUGUCAUCACUGCAGCAAUAUGUUUCUGUUCUUUUCUCAUCCCCUAAAUCUGUAACUUUCUUCCCUCAUCUCUUUUCUGCAAAUUUUCCUUGUAAUUCGUUAUAAUUCCAUCAAAUACCAGUCCAUUUUCUUCCCAAAAUUACUGUUCUAUUGGUAUUUUUAUUUUUUAUAUUGAGAACGUAACAUUGGUGCUUUCAUUGAAACUCCCCAACCAUGGGUGAACAUCAAACUCGUCUUAAGGUUUUGGAUGAUAAUAUCAAGGCGAUUGUCGAUUCUCAAACGACGAUGCGUCGUGAUUUUGACCUGUUAGCUUCUUCAGUGGAAGAUCAGAGGCGUCUUCUUCAAGAGGUUUUGGCUAAGCUCAAUGGGACAUCCAUGGUGGAUUCUCCAGACGCUUCUCCUUCGAUGGAUUCCGUUGGUUUCACCCCUUUGGGCCAUCAUAAACCCGCUCCGGUACAGAUGGCUCAAUUUUCCGGUGACCAUCCUGAACGUUGGGUAAUGCAGGCAAAACGUUACUUUGAUUUUUAUCAAAUCAAACUGGACGAUCGGGUAACUAUUUCUUCGUUUUAUUUUGACGGUGCCGCUUCGGAUUGGUAUGACUGGAUGCAUAAAAACAGGCAACUUACGAGCUGGCCGGCGUUCACAGCUACUGUAUUGCAGCGAUUUCGUUCUUAGGACUUGGAAGAACCUGAGGGAAUUUUGGCAAAGUUGCAGCCAUUACAAAUCGUAUGGUGCACCUUCCGACUCAGUUCUUGACUCAUUGCUUUAUUUCUGGGCUCCGCCCUGACAUUAAACACUCCGUUUUGGUUCACAAACCAGCCACCUUGUCCGAAGCCAUGCAUCUAGCCCAGCUGUUGGGAAUUUUUGAAGCAGAGUAAGAAAUACAAGACAGAACAAGGCAGUAUUUUUACUUGCUCACAAAUGUGCAGCAAGGGAGCUAUGGCUUCAGCUCAUUUAGCUCAAUUUUUCAAUAAGAAAAACAAUACAUAUAUAGUCAACUACAUCACCUAAACAUCCACCUAACACCACUAAGUUACAUUGGAAUUUAUGAAAACAUUACUUGCACACAUAGGUAAACUGAUUUAUCAAUCUGUCAGCACCUAAUUACAUUAAAAGCUAUACCAACUUAGUUCAUUUUGAACUAAAAAACUAAACUAGUGCUUGAAGUAACACAGCAGCUUGAACUUUAGCCAGCAUAAGUAUGGCUUUGCAGCUUGUUCUACUUCUUGGCUGCUUCAUGUGCUGUAUGUGCUGCAUGCAUGCCAACUUUAACACUCCUCCUUGGCUUGCAUGCUGCAUACUCCUAGCUUAGCUUGCAAAUCAGUGAACCUUGCUGUUACAACAAGCAUACGUGCUGCAGCAUGUUUAGAAGCUGCAUGCACUUAGCCAAAAAUAUAACAGCAGCAUGUUUGGCCAUUUUCAACACUACUGGUCUGCUUUUGAACUUGGCAGUCCUUAUAUGCUUUGUUUAAAGUUGAACCUGCACAAGCACUUCAUACUUCAUCCGGCAAAAAUAACUUGCCUUUAAACACAUCUUACCUUGUUCCUUUGUUCAUUACAGUUCUGUUUCUUCUUGCAUAUACAACUUGCGAGUAUAGUUUGCUUGCCUUCAGUCUGCCAUUUUUGGCUUGCAAUCCGACAGGUUUGCACUUUGUUGCUCGCACCAGGCUGAGCUUGCACCUUUGACAGGCUCACAUUUUUUGCUUACUGUCUCUUAAGGUGUCUUCAACUUUGCUGCUCGCACUAGGCUGAGCUUGCACCUUUGACAGGCUCGCAUUUUUGCUUACUGUCUCUUAAGGUGUCUUGGCUCGCAACUAUACAGGGCUCUCAGCUUUUGAUGAGCUCAUAGCUUGCACUUCUCGCUAAGCUUGCAGCUUUGACAUCUUGCUAAGCUUGCAGCUUGCACAUUUUUGUUGAGCUUGCAGCUUGCAUAUUGGAAAGCUCACAUUCUUUCCUUGAAACUCCUCCUUCAGCUUAUUCAAGCUUGUUUGGGAGUCUCUUAAGGUUGAGCUGAUGUUGUCUUCUCUUCAAGCAGUCCUUGAUGACAUGCUUUGACAACUUCUUGUCUUUCUUAACAAACAGCAGAAGCAGAAACAAGCCUUCAAAGGUGACAGGCUUUAACGACUCCUUGCCUUUCUAGCAGCAGAAGCAAAAAUUCCAAAGGCCCUCAAAGAUCAUAAAAGCUCUCGAUACCAUGUUGGGAAUUUUUGAAGCAGAGUAAGAAAUACAAGACAGAACAAGGCAGUAUUUUUACUUGCUCACAAAUGUGCAGCAAGGGAGCUAUGGCUUCAGCUCAUUUAGCUCAAUUUUUCAAUAAGAAAAACAAUACAUAUAUAGUCAACUACAUCACCUAAACAUCCACCUAACACCACUAAGUUACAUUGGAAUUUAUGAAAACAUUACUUGCACACAUAGGUAAACUGAUUUAUCAAUCUGUCAGCACCUAAUUACAUUAAAAGCUAUACCAACUUAGUUCAUUUUGAACUAAAAAACUAAACUAGUGCUUGAAGUAACACAGCAGCUUGAACUUUAGCCAGCAUAAGUAUGGCUUUGCAGCUUGUUCUACUUCUUGGCUGCUUCAUGUGCUGUAUGUGCUGCAUGCAUGCCAACUUUAACACCAGCUCCAUGAACAACGCAUUCAGUUGGAACGUGGGGUACUUAAGCCCAGCCUGGGUGGUUCUAAACCAUUAUUACCAACUCCCAAACAAUCUCCUGGUACUUCAGUAUUUUCUCCUUCCAUCCCAACAGCAACCGCAACCUUGCCCGGUGGUAAUCGCGUUCCGUUUCGCCACCUUGCUCCUACUGAGGCUACUCACCGCUGUUCACAAGGCCUCUGUUAUCAUUGUGAUGAGAAGUAUGAGUGGGGUCACAAAUGCAAAGCAAAAUCCCACCUGUUACUCUUGGAAGAAGAGUUCGAGCCACCUGAUGCUCUCGCACCUGAACUUUUAUCGCCUUCUUCACCUGCUGUUCCUGAUUCCACCUCACCUGACACCACCUUACAGCUCCAUUCUUCGAUUUCUUAUAAUGCUCUUGCUGGAGGUUGCUCUUCUUCUACUCUUCGAUUUGAGGGUACAGUUCGUGGCAAACAAGUCCAAGUGUUGCUCGAUGGUGGGAGCACACAUAACUUUGUGCAAACCCGUAUGGCCAAGUAUUUGAAUCUUCCAAUAACUACCUCUCCUGGUUUCUCUGUAUUGGCAUUGUCAAACAAGUACCAUUGAUAAUUCAAGGCUGUGAAAUAUGCAUUUAUUUUUAUGUCUUACCAUUAAAGGGAUGGGACAUGGUCCUUGGUGUUACUUGGUUAUCCACCCUCGGACCAGUUAUGAUGGAUUAUGGGUCAUCUGUUUUUGAGUUCAAGCAUCACGGUCAGCCUAUUUGAUGGACAGGAGAAGCCCCAUCUUCGGUUCAAUCGGUACAAUUUAAUGGGUUGCGUCGCCUUCAUCAAAUCAAUGCUAUUGCAGAAUAUUUUCGUUUGGAAUUGGUUUCCUCUCAUCCUGUUAAUUCCACGCCCCUCCCCUUGGAAUUAGAACAACUACUUGCUUCAUUUGCUGAUGUGUUCCUCAAACCGCAGGGUCUACCUCCUAUUCGCGCUUGUGAUCAUGCGAUACAUUUGUUGCCUGACAGUGAGCCAAUCAAUGUUAAACUUUACCGUUAUCCAUAUUUUCAGAAGUAUGAGAUUGAAAAAUUAGUUGCUGAAAUGCUUCGGGAUGGAAUUAUUCGGCCAAGCACUAGCCCUUUUUCUUCUCCAGUGCUACUUGUGCGCAAGAAGGAUGGUACGUGGCGAUUUUGCAUUGACUAUCGAGCCCUAAAUGCCAUUACCAUUAAGGAUCGAUUUCUUAUUCCAUCUAUUGAUGAACUUUUUGAUGAGUUACAUGGUGCGGUGUAUUUCUCUAAAUUGGGUUUGUUGGCCGGCUAUCAUCAACUGCGAAUUCGCAUUGGCGAUGAGUACAAAACUGCCUUUCGAACUCAUGAGGGGCAUUACGAAUUCCUCGUAAUGCCAUUUGGCUUGUCCAAUGCGCCAUCCUCCUUUCAAAGUCUCAUGAACAACGUUUUUCGAGCUUACUUGCGGAAUUUUGUACUCGUUUUCUUCGACGGUAUCUUAAUUUACAGCCCUUCUUGGGAGACUCACUUGGAGCACAUUCGUCUUGUGUUUUCAAUUUUACGACACCAUCAAUUAGUGGCAAAGCAAUCCAAAUGUAUUUUUGGCCAAACUUCUAUUGGAUAUUUGGGGCAUAUCAUCUCUAGCCAAGGUGUAUCCGCCGAUCCUGACAAAAUUGUUGCAAUUCAAAAAUGGCCAUUACCACGUUCAAUUAAGGAGAUUCACGGAUUUCUUGGUCUCGUAGGAUACGAUCGGCACUUUGUUCGAUAUUUUGCCUCUAUUGUAGGACCCCUUACUAAUCUUCUUCACAAAGAUAACUUUCUUUGGACUGAAUCUGCUACCAAUGCUUUUGUCAAGUUGAAAGAAGUUUUGAGUUCAGCCCCUGUCUUAGCUUUGCCGGACUUCACGAAAUCAUUUACAGUUGAAACGGAUGCUUCCGGUACCGGGAUCGGAACUGUUUUGUCCCAAGACAAGCAUCCAAUAGCAUUUUUCAGCCAGCAAAUGAGUCUUCGCAUGCAACAGUCCUCGACGUACCAACGUGAAAUGUAUGCGGUCACCUAGAGCUGCUCAUGGGCCGGGCCGGGUCGGGUUUGGGCCGUGCCCAGAAAAAAUUUUGGCCCAAGUCCUAGGCCCGGGUCCGGCCCAGCCCGAAAUAUGGGCCUAGAAUUUUUCUCAAGCCCGUCCCGAGAAAAAAAUCAUAAGCCCGGGCCCGGCCUGGCCCGGUACGUUUUUUAAAUAAAUACCAAAAAUUUAUUUUAAAAAAAUUUAUUUUAAAAAUUUUUUAAAAUUAAAAAAAUUAAAAAUAUUUUAAAAAUAUUUUAAAAUUUAAAAAAAUUAAAAAAAAAAGUAUUUUAAAAGUAUUUUAAAAUAAAAAAAUAAAAUAUUUAUUAUAUUCGAUCCGGGCCGGGCCGGGCCCGGGCCAAAAAAGUGGUGCCCGAUGCCCGGCUCGUUUUUUAAUUGGGCCUCAUUUUUUUGCCCAAGCCCAUAUUUCGAGCCUAUAUUUUUACUCAAACCCUCCCAUAUUUCAGGCAGGCCGUCGGGCCGGGCCGGGCCGCCCGGCCCAUGAGCACCUCUACGGUCACCCAAGCUGUUUCGAAAUGGCGGCAAUAUUUGUUGGGGAGGAGAUUUACAAUUAUAACUGAUCAACAGCCACUUAAGAAUCUCAUGCAACAAGUUAUACAAACCCCCGAGCAACAGAAAUGGUUGAGCAAGCUUAUUGGUUAUGACUUUGACAUUAUCUAUCGCCCUGGGAAGUUGAAUGCUGCUGCAGACUCUUUUUCUCGCAUCCCUUCCUCUCAAUUGCUUGCUUUAUCUAUUGUGCAAUUUGAUCUUAUUGCUGAUUUUCGUGCAGCCAACUUACAACACCUUGAACUUUUGGGUAUGCAGCAACGAGUGUGCGCUGACCCAGCACAAUUUCCCGACUUUAGUUUCCAUGAGGGGCUGUUAUUAUUUCGGGGUCGCUUAAUGAUUCCAGCUGAUUCUCCUAUCCGUUUACUGCUUAUUCAUGAGUUUCACGCAUCUCCCAUCGGUGGCCAUUCGGGUAUUACACGCACCUUUCAUCGUCUUUCCUCAAAUUUCUUUUGGACUUCUAUGCAUCGGGAUGUUAAACAAUAUGUCAAAGAGUGCCAAAUUUGUCAGCAAAUGAAAGCCUCAUCCUUGAGUCCUAGCGGUUUGCUGCAGCCAUUACCGAUUCCCAAUUUGGUUUUUGAGAGCAUCUCUAUGGAUUUUAUCACGGCAUUACCUUCUUCCAAAGGCAAAACCGUUAUCUUCGUUGUCAUCGAUAUCCAAAUAUGGCCAUUUCAUCGGAUUGCCCACUAAUUUUACUAGCAUUUCAAUGGCUGCUGUUUUUGUUCAGAAGAUUAUUUGUUUGCAUGGUGUACCAGUGGAGAUUGUUUCGGACCGCGAUCCUCGAUUUCUCAGUGAUUUUUGGAAGGAAAUCCAUCGUUUGCAGGGUACAACUCCAAGUAUUAGUACUGCCUACCAUCCACAAUCCGACAGCCAAACUGAGGCAUUGAAUAAAUUCGUUGAAAUGUAUCUUCGAUGCUAUACUUCGGAUCACCCCUCGACUUGGACAAACAUGUUGCCAUGGGCUAAAUUUUGGUAUAAUACGGCUUAUCAAACGGCUGCCAAAAUGACACUCUUUGAGGUUCUAUAUGGUCGUCCUCCUCCUACUGUUGCUCGUUAUGUGCGAGAUACUUCUAGUAAUGCUUUAGUGGAAGCUCAGCUCGUGGAACGUGAUCAAGUUCUUCGGGUGCUGAAGGAGAAUUUACGGCGAGCACAGAAUCGGAUGAAGUUAUUGGCUAAUAGGAGCCGUCGUGAGGUGACUUUUGUCGAGGGAGUUUGGGUCUAUGUCAAGCUCCAACCGUUUCGCCAACAUUCUAUUCGUUUGCAACGCCACCACAAGCUAAGUAGACAUUAUUUUGGUCCUUAUAAGGUAAUUGGCCGUGUUGGUGAGGUUGCUUACAAAUUGGAGCUGCCAGAAUCUGCGCAUAUCCAUCCUGUAUUUCAUGUUUCCUUGCUCAAGAAAUGCCUCGGCCAACCAGAUCAACAGGUAACACCCCUCCACCUCGCUGAUUCUACUUCUGCCCUUAUAUUGCAACCAACUGCUAUACUGGAGAUGAGGUCUAUUCAGCGGGCUAAUUCAUUGAUUGAGCAAUGGCUGGUACAAUGGGACGACUCAUCUACUGAUGAAGCAACUUGGGAAGAUAAGGCUUACAUGUUGAAGUUAUUUCCUGAUCUCAACCUUAAGGACAAGGUAUGCCUCGAUGUGGGGGGUAACGUUGUGAACGACCCACCAAGGCAGUAGAAGGCUACUGGAAUUGCCACUACACAGGCUACUAGAGGGAGCACUCGGCCCAGAAUGGCUCCCAAAUGGCUGAAGGAUUUUGACAAGUGACACCUCAGCUGGUUGCACGUGGAAGGGAAUAACGGUUCACACUUCUCUCAUGCAACUAUCCUUGUUUUAAGGAGGAAAAAUACCAGAAAAUGUCAUCACUGCAGCAAUAUGUUUCUGUUCUUUUCUCAUCCCCUAAAUCUGUAACUUUCUUCCCUCAUAUCUUUUCUGCAAAUUUUCCUUGUAAUUUGUUAUAAUUCCAUCAAAUACCAGUCCAUUUUCUUCC